AUCGCUUCUCGGCUAAGAUCAGGGGUAGUAUUUGUUCUUAUCAGUUUAAUAUCUAGCAUGUCCCCUAUCUGGGGACCAUAUAGUGCACAGGGUUUUAAGAACUGGAACCGUUGUCGAAACUUGCUUCCAACACCAUAUGCAUUGACCCAAAAUGGCAGUAUCUUCGGGUACAGGGCACUGAGG